rnacentral:rRNA from 1 species
AGGGAGAGGUGCUUGCACCUCGAACUUAGCGGCGGACGGGUGAGGAACGCGUGGGUAACCUGCCCUAUACAGGGGGAUAACACAGAGAAAUCUGUGCUAAAACCGCAUAAGCCUACAGUACCGCAUGGUACAGCAGGGAAAACUCAGGUGGUAUAGGAUGGGCCCGCGUCUGAUUAGCUAGUUGGAGAGGUAACGGCUCACCGAGGCGACGAUCGGUAGCCGGACUGAGAGGUUGAACGGCCACAUUGGGACUGAGACACGGCCCAGACUCC